UUUGCCUACGGGAGGCAGCAGUGAGGAAUAUUGGUCAAUGGGAGAGAUCCUGAACCAGCCAAGUAGCGUGCAGGAUGACGGCCCUCCGGGUUGUAAACUGCUUUUAGUUGGGAAUAAAAGGGGGCUCGUGAGCCCCGUAUUGUAUGUACCAUCAGAAAAAGGACCGGCUAAUUCCGUGCCAGCAGCCGCGGUAAUACGGAAGGUCCGGGCGUUAUCCGGAUUUAUUGGGUUUAAAGGGAGCGUAGGCCGGCUUUUAAGUCAGCUGUGAAAGUCCGCGGCUCAACCGUGGAAUUGCAGUUGAAACU
rnacentral:rRNA from 1 species